UUCGCAAUGCCCGAAAGGGUGACGAAGCGACGCCGCGUGGGUGAGGAAGGCCUUCGGGUUGUAAAGCCCUGUCAGGAGUUAAGAAAUGUAAGUGCGCUAGUAUCGCAUUUAUUUGACAAAGGCUCCAAAGGAAGCCACGGCUAACUCUGUGCCAGCAGCCGCGGUAAUACAGAGGUGGCAAGCGUUGUUCGGAAUUAUUGGGCGUAAAGAGCACGUAGGUGGGUUUGUAAGUCAGAUGUGAAAGCCUUCUGUUCAACGGAAGAAUUGCAUCUGAAACUGCAAGUCUUGAGUGUAGGAGGGGAGAAUGGAACUUCUGGUGGAGCGGUGAAAUGCGUAGAUAUCAGAAGGAACGCCGGCGGCGAAAGCGAUUCUCUGGCCUAUUACUGACACUCAGUGUGCGAAAGCUAGGGGAGCAAACGGGAUUAGAUACCCCGGUAGUCCUAGCUGUAAACGAUGGGCACUAAGUAGAGGGGUUUU
rnacentral:rRNA from 2 species